rnacentral:rRNA from 1 species
UACGUAGGGUGCGAGCGUUAAUCGGAAUUACUGGGCGUAAAGCGUGCGCAGGCGGUUUUGUAAGCCAGAUGUGAAAUCCCCGGGCUUAACCUGGGAAUGGCAUUGGAUACUGGCUCGCUAGAGUGCGGUAGAGGGUGGUGGAAUUCCCGGUGUAGCAGUGAAAUGCGUAGAGAUCGGGAGGAACAUCUGUGGCGAAGGCGGCCACCUGGACCAGCACUGACACUGAGGCACGAAAGCGUGGGGAGCAAACAGG